GUGAGGAAUAUUGGACAAUGGAUGGAAAUCUGAUCCAGCCAUGCCGCGUGCAGGAAGACGGCCCUAUGGGUUGUAAACUGCUUUUAUACGGGAGCAAUAAGGUCUAUGCAUAGAUUGAUGAGAGUACCGUAUGAAUAAGCAUCGGCUAACUCCGUGCCAGCAGCCGCGGUAAUACGGAGGAUGCGAGCGUUAUCCGGAUUUAUUGGGUUUAAAGGGUGCGUAGGCGGCUUUGUAAGUCAGCGGUGAAAUUUUGCAGCUUAACUGUAAAAGCGCCGUUGAUACUGUGAAGCUAGGAUUUGGUUGCUGGGGGCGGAAUGUGUGGUGUAGCGGUGAAAUGCAUAGAGAUCACACAGAAUAUCGAUUGCGAAGGCAGCUCACAAAGCCAAUAUUGACGCUGAGGCACGAAAGUGUGGGGAUCAAACAGGAUUAGAAACCCUAGUAGUCC
rnacentral:rRNA from 1 species